UACGAAGGGGGCUAGCGUUGCUCGGAAUGACUGGGCGUAAAGGGCGCGUAGGCGGUGGACAAAGUCAGGCGUGAAAUUCCUGGGCUCAACCUGGGGGCUGCGUUUGAUACGUGUUUGCUAGAGUGGGGAAGAGGGUCGUGGAAUUCCCAGUGUAGAGGUGAAAUUCGUAGAUAUUGGGAAGAACACCGGUGGCGAAGGCGGCGACCUGGUCCUUGACUGACGCUGAGGCGCGAAAGCGUGGGGAGCAAACAGG
rnacentral:rRNA from 1 species